CAGUAGUUCCAAGGAAGUGCUCAACCUAGACGUUGUUGGCCGAAGGAGGGGCGGAGCAGGUGCCAGUCAGGUAGGAGGCUCAAUGGGUGGGAGAUGGCAGCUGCCGAUCUCACACGGCUCCUGCGCCCCGCUACCCUCCCCUCCCCGGCUAAGUAGGAGGUUCGAGGGCAGCGACUAAGGAAGGAGCACAUCGGCGAUGAGGGCUAGCAACAGCAAGACGCAACUGUCAGGUGCGGUCGAUAUGCCACCACGUCGGCCCCUUCACGUGCGACCGCCAGGGUCGGGGCCUUUUUAUGAGCAAUGCAUAGUGUUUCCUUUAUUGUUGUUGUUUGUGUUGUCCUAGAUAUUCCUUUGCCAUAUGAUUUUUGAUCAUUUUCUCGCUCAUUCCUAGAGGAGCGCUAUGGAUAAUAUGAUUGAGAUGACUAAGAUACAUGCUUUUUGUUUACUUGGCAUCUGCUUCUCUUAAUUUUUCUGCAAUCCUUCCUUUACACGCUGGUAUGUUUUAUUGCCAGGCUCAGAUCGGUGAGACCCGUGCCAAUGCAUGAGGUACAAUAUUUUUCUUAUUUAUUCCUUUCAUACAUAUUGAGUUCAUUCACCCUAUUAUAUAUACUGAUUAAACAGUCACACUCAUUUCUCAUGUUUAUGUUCAGGCCUAACCUCACAAAACUUUGGUAUGCACUCACGUAUAAUCAGGGCUUGCUUAUUUUAAUUGUGAAUUCAUUUUAUAAAUAUUAUAUCAUUAUUAUUUGUAAUCAGUUUUUUAUUUAUGAUUUCCAAUUGGGUAAUAUCCCAUCAUACUACUAGGCAUUGGCCAGGUACUGGACUUUGGCUGGUUGUCAAUAUAAGCUUUGUGUUCUCCUUUGUUUUUACCUCAUUUAUAAAGUCCGUGAUUGAGCAUGCAUUUGAUUUCUAUGCCAACAUAGAUCUUAUUGCUCAUCAAAGGUAUCUAAAAGUUGUGUGCUCUGCAACAGAUGGGUUGUGUUAGUCAAUAGAAAUACCUAAUAUGUCAGUUUUGUUGCCAAAUAUUUUAAACACACAUGUAUAUACAGAGUUAUAGAACAUAAGAUGAUCUGGUGGUUACCUUUCCGUUAUUUACUCGAAUGACUGUACGUAUAUCUUACCUUCAGACUUUAUCCGCUCUUGGUUAGUUUUCCAUCUCCAAUCAGAUUAAUGGUUUGCAUGCAGACCAAGCCCAGUGUUUUAUGGUGUUCUUAUUCCUGAUUUAGUUGUACAUUUGACUUUUAGUUUGUUCAUAGAUAAUAAAGUAGUGGCAGAUGAACCAGUAAGUUAUCUGUGCCCAUGCUUUGCUAUAAGCAUUAAAUUUUCUCUCUGCUUUUACUUUCGAUGUGUUAUCCGUACCCCUACUUUUUGUGGCUAAUUAUUAUGUCCUAUCAACAUAUGUAGAGUGCAUGGUAUCAUACAAUUUGAAGUUGAAAAAUUCAUGCUAUGGGUGAUACGGAAAAGUCAUUGCCUUCUUUG
rnacentral:lncRNA from 1 species